rnacentral:rRNA from 1 species
AUGCUCGUCGAUCAUGUCGCAUAUAGAGGCGACCCGGUAGGCAAUGGUGGGGUUCUUUACCGCGGUGGCGCGCUGCUCGCCGUCGACAGCCAUGGCAACACGCGAGGUGAGGGCGAGGAACAAUGCUAUCGAGGUGACGAUGAACGAGGGAUUCGACCAAAGUUAUAUAGAGGAGGCUUCACCCAGCUCGGACAAGUCAGUGAGCGCCGUCUGAAUUACUGGUUCGCAUAUCUACUUGCUUAUCUUGAAGAGAUCGCUCAACGGCGCACGCUCGCCGUCCACCGACCAGCCACCCGUCGCCGUCGCCGCAUCCUCGGCCGACCCGAGGCCAGCCCGAACGCCGCACCCGCCGAGCAGCGCCCUCCAGACCCCCCGGUCCGGCCGGCAAGGCAUCGCGCGCACCACGCUCACCGCCCCGUCGACAUCGCCGCCACGGCAGAGCAGGUCGACCAGGCAGCCGUAGUGCUCCGGCGAGGGGCGGACGCCGUGGUCCCUCUGCAUCGCGUCGAACGCCCUGCGCCCUUCGCCGACGAGCCCCCCGUGGCUGCACGCCAGCAGCACGCCCAUGAAGGUGAAGCGGUCGGGCCGGAAGCCCUGCCGCUUCAUGAGGUCGAACAGCCUGAGCGCGUCGCCGGCCCGCCCGUGCACCGCCAGGCCCCUGAUCAUCACGUUCCAGGCGAACACGUCCUUGCCGCGCAUCUUGAAGAAGACGACGAGCGCGCGGGCUACGUCGCAGCACAUGGCGUACAUCUCCACCAGCGCCGUCCCGACGGCGGCGUGGGCCUGCAGCGCCGGCGUCACCAGGUUGGCGUGCACCCACCGGCCCAUCCGGAGCUUCCGGAGGUGCUCGCAGGCCGAGAGGAGCGACACGACGGUGAAGCUGUUGGGCGUGUGGCCUUCGAGCAGCAUCCAUGGGAAGAGGCGGAGCGCCUGCGAGAACCUGCCGUGCCUGGUGUAGCUCGAGAGCACGCAGUUCCAGGACACCAGGUUCCUCUCCGGCAUCCGGCUGAACAGGCUCCUCAUGCCGGCGAAGUCGCCGGCGACGGACAGCGCCCUCAGCAUCGUUGUCCAAGACACCACGUCCCUCUCCGGCAUCUCCGCGAAGAGCUCCUUCGCUGCCGCGAUGUCGCCCGACCUGACGUGCACGGCGAGCAUUGUGUUCCACGACACGACGUCCCUGUCUGGCAUCGCGUCGAAGACCUCUCGCGCGGAGCCGACGUCCCCGGCCUUGGCGUGCUCCGCUAUCAUGUGGUUCGACAGGCCCACGGACCUGACGCGCAAUCCGUCGAACAGCCUCCGCGCGUCGCCCAGCGAGCCGCCGCCGACGGAGACGUAGAAUGCGAGCAGCGAGCUCCCGACGGCCGGCACGUGGUCGAGCCCCUCCUUCAGGACCCGGCCGUGGACGCCCUCGCCGCGCCGCCGCGCCCGGAGCCGCGCGCACGCGUCCAGGACGUACGGGUAGGUGAAUCCGUCAGCCACCAGGCCCCGGCGCGGCAUCUCGUCGAACAGCUCCAGCGCGCGCUCGUGGGGGCCGUGGUAGGAGCGCCCGCGGAUCAUGGCGUUGUAGAGGGCGGCGUCAGGCGGCGCCCCCGACCGGAGGAACGAGGAGAAGAGCAGGUCGGCGUGGGCCAUGUCGCCGACGUCGGCGGCGCGGCGGACGAGGAGGGCGGGCAGGCCCGGGAGGCGGUGGAGGGAGGAGGUGAGGAGGAGGCCAUGGAUCUGGUUGAGCUGCCGGCGGGUGCAGUUCUUGGCGACGGACGAGAGGCGGGCUUCCAGGAGGCUCAUUGCCGCCGCCGACGUCAAGAUUUUUGGUGUACUAGUUUUUCUCAGAGUGAGAGUGUAGUUUGUUAG